GUUCACUGCUUUCCAUGGGUUCUUCACCAAGCCUUCAAGACAUGAUCUCUCAAUUGGCGUUGGUGCUCUGUGAGGAUUGGACUGGUUGCCCAUUGAGCCCUGGGAUCCACUCGUUUCUGCUUCUCCUGUGCUGGGAUUGCAGUUGUACAACUCUGAUAUGAUGUGCUGAAAAUGAUGGGAGCACAGGCUUCAAGUGGGCAAGACUGCAGAGCAUGGUUGUUUAAGCCUGAGGUUAAAACAGCAUGGUGAUAAAGUCCACUAAUGUAUGAAAGGGAUUUGAAAGUUAAGUCUUCUAUAGAAGAUAAGCUAACAUGGGUCUCAGUCACGGCUGUGUAUCAGGAAGUAAAACCAGCCGAGCCUUGACCUUUAAAAGGAAGCACUACCCCUUUGUCCAAGUGCCUUAUAACAUGUCUUUAUAACUGGCUGUGUAAGAAUGAAGAAAAGCUGUCCAUCUUCUGAGAAGUCUUGCAUUUUUGGCACAUCCUCUGGGACUCUGCUUUCCUGGAAGACAUUUUCUUUCUGUAACUCCUCUGCCGCUUCAUCAAACCUCUCGCCAAAGUGGGGAAGAGAAUCAUCCCCCACCCCGCAGAUUAUGUGAACUGCCUCAGCCUGCAAGUGGCCAACAUGCUGGCAGUACCAGGAACUCUCCCCAGUUAAUCCCCACAGUGGCUCUGGGAGGCGAAUAUUUUUC
rnacentral:lncRNA from 1 species